rnacentral:tRNA from 1 species
GAGGGUAUAGCUUAAGUGGCAGAGCACAUGCUUAGCAUGCACGAGGUGCUGGGUUCAACCCCCAGUACCUCCU